AACGAACGCUGGCGGCAUGCCUAACACAUGCAAGUCGAACGAGACCUUCGGGUCUAGUGGCGCACGGGUGCGUAACGCGUGGGAAUCUGCCCUUGGGUUCGGAAUAACAGUUAGAAAUGACUGCUAAUACCGGAUAAUGUCUUCGGACCAAAGAUUUAUCGCCCAGGGAUGAGCCCGCGUAGGAUUAGCUAGUUGGUGAGGUAAAGGCUCACCAAGGCGACGAUCCUUAGCUGGUCUGAGAGGAUGAUCAGCCACACUGGGACUGAGACACGGCCCAGACUCCUACGGGAGGCAGCAGUGGGGAAUAUUGGACAAUGGGCGAAAGCCUGAUCCAGCAAUGCCGCGUGAGUGAUGAAGGCCUUAGGGUUGUAAAGCUCUUUUACCCGGGAUGAUAAUGACAGUACCGGGAGAAUAAGCCCCCGGCUAACUCCGUGCCAGCAGCCGCGU
rnacentral:rRNA from 1 species